rnacentral:rRNA from 1 species
AACGUUANNNNNNNNNUUGCCUCGGCGGGAUCUUCUGCCCCGGGUGCGUCGCAGCCCCGGACCAAGGCGCCCGCCGGAGGAAUCAACCAAAACUCUUAUUGUAUACCCCCUCGCGGGUUUUUUUUAUAAUCUGAGCCUUCUCGGCGCCUCUCGUAGGCGUUUCGAAAAUGAAUCAAAACUUUCAACAACGGAUCUCUUGGUUCUGGCAUCGAUGAAGAACGCAGCGAAAUGCGAUAAGUAAUGUGAAUUGCAGAAUUCAGUGAAUCAUCGAAUCUUUGAACGCACAUUGCGCCCGCCAGUAUUCUGGCGGGCAUGCCUGUCCGAGCGUCAUUUCAACCCUCGAACCCCUCCGGGGGGUCGGCGUUGGGGAUCGGCCUUUCUUCACGGGGGCCGUCUCCGAAAUACGGUGGCGGUCUCGCCGCAGCCUCUCCUGCGCAGUAGUUUGCACACUCGCAUCGGGAGCGCGGCGCGUCCACAGCCGUUAAACACCCAACUUUCUGAAAUGUUGACCUCGGAUCAGGUAGGAAUACCCGCUGAACUUA